rnacentral:rRNA from 1 species
GUGUAUGGCCAUGCCACCCUGAAUGUACCUGAUCUCAUCUUAUCUCGGAAGCUAAGCAGGGUCGGGCUUGGUUAGUACUUGGAUGGGAAACCACCUAAGAAUACCAGGUGCUGUAGGCG